AACGAACGCUGGCGGCAUGCCUAACACAUGCAAGUCGAACGCGUGGCUACGGCCACGAGUGGCGCACGGGUGAGUAACGCGUGGGAACCUGCCCGGCAGUACGGGACAACCGCGGGACACUGCGGCUAAUACCGUAUGAGUCCUGAGGGGGGAAGAUUUAUCGCUGGCGGAGGGGCCCGCGUCGGAUUAGGUAGUUGGUGGGGUAACGGCCUACCAAGCCUGCGGAUCCGUAGCGGGUCUGAGAGGAUGAUCAGCCACACUGGGACUGAGACACGGCCCAGACUCCUACGGGAGGCAGCAGUGGGGAAUAUUGGACAAUGGGGGAAACCCUGAUCCAGCAAUGCCGCGUGAGUGAUGAAGGCCUUAGGGUUGUAAAGCUCUUUCGCACGCGACGAUGAUGACGGUAGCGUGAGAAGAAGCCCCGGCUAACUCCGUGCCAGCCGCCGCAGUAAGAC
rnacentral:rRNA from 1 species